GAGUUUGAUCUUGGCUCAGAUUGAACGCUGGCGGCAGGCCUAACACAUGCAAGUCGAGCGGAUGAAGGGAGCUUGCUCCUGGAUUCAGCGGCGGACGGGUGAGUAAUGCCUAGGAAUCUGCCUGGUAGUGGGGAUAACGUCCGGAAACGGGCGCUAAUACCGCAUACGUCCUGAGGGAGAAAGUGGGGGAUCUUCGGACCUCACGCUAUCAGAUGAGCCUAGGUCGGAUUAGCUAGUUGGUGGGGUAAAGGCCUACCAAGGCGACGAUCCGUAACUGGUCUGAGAGGAUGAUCAGUCACACUGGAACUGAGACACGGUCCAGACUCCUACGGGAGGCAGCAGUGGGGAAUAUUGGACAAUGGGCGAAAGCCUGAUCCAGCCAUGCCGCGUGUGUGAAGAAGGUCUUCGGAUUGUAAAGCACUUUAAGUUGGGAGGAAGGGCAGUAAGUUAAUACCUUGCUGUUUUGACGUUACCAACAGAAUAAGCACCGGCUAACUUCGUGCCAGCCGCCGCUGU
rnacentral:rRNA from 1 species